rnacentral:misc_RNA from 1 species
GAAAUGCGAUAAGUAAUGUGAAUUGCAGAAUUCCGUGAAUCAUCGAAUCUUUGAACGCACAUCGCGCCCUCUGGCAUUCCGGGGGGGAUGCCUGUCCGAGCGUCAUUACGCACCCUCAAGCCCGGCUUGUGUGAUGGGCCCCGGCGUCUCGUUCGCGAGACGGGCCCGAAAGGCAGCGGCGGCGUCGACCCGAUGAGCCCGAGCGUAUGGGGACUUCUGUCACACGUUCGCGGUGCGGACCGGCGCCUGCUUGACUUUUCUGAUUAUCCAGGUUGACCUCGGAUCAGGUAGGGAUACCCGCUGAACUUAAGC